AAGCACUUUGUGACUUUUUCCUGUGAAAGGUGCUUUAUUAAACUGUACUUUUGAUGAUUCAGCAUUUCAAAAUGGCACCAAAACCGCACAGAGCUAAUCUUAAUUCCUUGUUAUGUUUUUUGUUUGCUUGUGUAUGUGCUGUCCACCUGGUCUGUUUGUGUGUGUGUGUGUGUGUGUGUGAAUGUGUCUCCAGCUAAGAAAGCGUCAAAGUUUCGGGACUGGCUGGAUUGCAGCACUUUAGAGCUGAAACCCAACAGCAUUGCAAUGGAGAUCCUGUCCUACCUGGCCUAUGAGACUGUUGCCCAGAUUGUGGAUUUGUCUCUGUUGGUAAAGCAGGAAAUGACUGCGAAGAGCAAUCCCAUCAGUCAUGUGAUCUCUGCCAGCUACAUCCACUACAACACUCAUGCUGAGGUA